AGUGAACGCUGGCGGCGUGCUAACACAUGCAAGUCGAACGAGAACGGGUUUAAGUUUACUUAAACUGUCAGCUAAGUGGCGCACGGGUGAGUAAGAUAUAGUUAACCUGCCCUCUAGAAAGGAAUAACAGUUAGAAAUGACUGCUAAUGCCUUAUAUGCCUUUUUAACAUAAGUUAGUAAAGGGAAAUGCUUUAGUGCUAGAGGAUGGGACUGUAUAGUAUCAGAUAGUUGGUGGGGUAAUGGCCUACCAAGUCAAUGACGCUUAACUGGUUUGAGAGGAUGAUCAGUCACACUGGAACUGAGACACGGUCCAGACUCCUACGGGAGGCAGCAGUGGGGAAUAUUGCACAAUGGACGAAAGUCUGAUGCAGCAACGCCGCGUGGAGGAUGACACAUUUCGGUGCGUAAACUCCUUUUAUAUAGGAAGAUAAUGACGGUACUAUAUGAAUAAGCACCGGCUAACUCCGUGCCAGCAGCCGCGGUAAUACGGAGGGUGCAAGCGUUACUCGGAAUCACUGGGCGUAAAGAGCAUGUAGGCGGAUUGAUAAGUUUGAAGUGAAAUCCUAUAGCUUAACUAUAGAACUGCUUCGAGAACUGUUAAUCUAGAAUAUGGGAGAGGUAGAUGGAAUUUCUGGUGUAGGGGUAAAAUCCGUAGAGAUCAGAAGGAAUACCGAUUGCGAAGGCGAUCUACUGGAACAUUAUUGACGCUCAGAUGCGAAAGCGUGGGGAGCAAACAGG
rnacentral:rRNA from 1 species